CAUGCACACACCCACCGGAAUCACCGCCAUUGUUAUUAUCAAAAUUGGAAAUGCCUCCGGAUGAUGAUGAUGAUCUUCAUCUUCGUGAUCCACCAUGAAUGACGACCACGUGGUUGCAGGUAAAUUUCCUCCGUCUCUACAAGCUAGUGUAAGAAAGUGAAAUUUUGGUUUAACUGCGUGUAUGUGUACAUAUAUAAAGAGAAAACAUAUUCAGCAGCCACCAUUUUAGCGGACCUUCGUAUAAGACUUAGUCUGUGUCUGUUUUUAGAUAUUAAAAUUAGAAUUUUGUAUAUGGCUUUGGAUUCCAUCUAUCUGCCUAUGGUGAAGCCCAUAAUCUGUAGCGCCCGGGAAAUUGAAGAAGAAGAAGAAAAAAAAAGGGGGACCACGUCAGCAGCCACGUCAGCAGACCCAGUCAGCAGUCCCGGCCAACCGGGACCUGCCACGUGGCAAGACCACGUCGAUCCGGGACGGGCCACGUUGGCGAUCCGCGUAUGCGCGAUCGGACGGCCAAGAUCAAACGUGCGAUCGGACGGCCCAGAUGCAAUCGCACGGACGACCCAGAUUCAAUAAAAAACGGACGGCCCAGAUUAAAUCAAAAUGGACGGCUGAGAUCAAAAGGCAAAAGGGUAUAAAUAAGACCCCCACACCAGACUACAAAACCCUAGCCGCUGCCCUCGCCGGAGAAGACGAACCAGAAGCCGGCCGCCGCCACCCGCCGCCGCACCGGAGGGAAUUCCGACCGCCGAUCGAGGUAAAUUUCAUACUCCUGACUCGUUUUUCCACGCUGAUUUCCCCUGUGGCCAAAUCAGAGCCAAAAUCCUGGCCAAACGGCCGAAAAAACACGACCGAAACCCAGCGGCGCUGCCGCGCCCCUCCUCGGUUUUUGCCUCCGAUGAGGCCCUUCCCGGCCUCCGUUUAAUGCAAUUUUUAUAUCACCGUGAUCACCAUUCUUUUCUCUACAGGUUGAUCGGAGCCGAAUCACCAAAACACGAACUUCACCGGAGAGCCGCCGUACUCGAGAGCACCGCCGCCGGUAAGCUUCGGUUUUUCGUAAUUUUUUGGCCCCCCGAGGGCCCUAGAGUUGUUUAAUCGCAAGGAUCGAUGCAAGUGUGGCCGAAUUCGGCCGAAAACGGCCAAACCGAGGCGAAUCGCCGCCGUGCCGGAGUUGCGAUAUUGGCCGAAAUGGGCCCUGGGCCUAAUUUGGGAUUUUUUUAAAAACAUGUGCAGGUACCAGUAGUGCGUUUCAGUUUCCCGGAAAAAUUCAGGGAAAAUUAGGGACAGCCUGUAGGCACACUGUGAAACCGUGUUCGGACCCCGAAACGAGUAAGGACCCCUCACCCUAUUUCCUAUCACGGUAUUAAAGUUCAAUAAAUGAUAAAAUGGUAUUUCAUAAAUCAACGAAUGUGUGAAAUUGCUUAAGGUCGCUAAUGGAGCCCGAGUCUAGUGUGUUUGUCGG
rnacentral:lncRNA from 1 species